AUUGAACGCUGGCGGCAGGCCUAACACAUGCAAGUCGAGCGGAUGAAGGGAGCUUGCUCCUGGAUUCAGCGGCGCACGGGUGAGUAAUGCCUAUGAAUCUGCUUCGUAGUGGUGGAUAACGUCCGGAAACGGGCGCUGAUACCGCAUACGUCCUGCGGGAGCAAGUGGGGGGUCUUCGGACCUCACGCUAUCAGAUGAGCCUAGGUCGGAUUAGCUAGUUUGUGGGUUAGAGGGCUUCCUAGGCGGCGAUCCGUAAGUGGUCGGAGAGGAUGAUAAGUCACACUGGAACGUGGACACGGUCCAGGCUCCUACGAGAGGCAGCAGUGUGGAAUAGGAGACAGCAGGCGGAAGCCUGGUCCAGUCAUGCGGCGUGUGUUAAGAAGGUCUUCGGAGUGGAAAGCACUUUAUGGGGGGAGAAAGGGCAUUAAGUUAAGACCUUGCUUGAGUGACGGUACUGGCAGAAGAAGCACCGGCUAACUUCGUG
rnacentral:rRNA from 1 species